CUCCCCCCGACCGGGAUCUGCGGCUGCUGCCAUCCUCAAAACGCCGGAGGCCAUGGGGUUCGACUGCGCGCACCGCUCUGCACUGGAUGCCAUGGGAUUCGACUACGUGCACCGCUCUGCUGUAGACAUCGUCAUCGUCGAUGUCCUCCUCCGCUACAUCACCCACCUGGACUGGUCUGCCGCCUUCCAUGCCAACCUCGCCGGCCACGCACUCGCCAACGAGCUCGACGUUGUACAGGUGCUCGCAGGUGGUCGGCACCGACACGGACGGCUUCGCGGGCGCGGCGGCCACGGACCGCUGCCUCGUUGGCUUCGGUGUAAUUAGAGACCUCAUGGUGUUCGUCGACAACUAACUCGA
rnacentral:lncRNA from 1 species